AAACAGUUUUCCAUACGAUCAUCGAAGUUAAGCAACGUCGAACCUGGUUAGUACCUAGAUGUGUAACGACUUGGGAAUACCAGGUGCUGUAAG
rnacentral:rRNA from 1 species